GACGAACGCUGGCGGCGUGCUUAACACAUGCAAGUCGAACGGUGAAGCGCCUUCCUUUUUGGUGGGUGUGGAUGAGUGGCGAACGGGUGAGUAACACGUGAGUAACCUGCCCCCUUCUUCUGGAUAACCGCAUGAAAGUGUGGCUAAUACGGGAUAUUCUGGGUCUGUCGCAUGAUGGGUCUGGGAAAGAUAUUGUUUCGGUGGGGGAUGGGCUCGCGGCCUAUCAGCUUGUUGGUGGGGUGAUGGCCUACCAAGGCGGUGACGGGUAGCCGGCCUGAGAGGGUGGACGGUCACACUGGGACUGAGACACGGACCAGACUCCUACGGGAGGCAGCAGUGGGGAAUAUUGCACAAUGGGCGCAAGGCUGAUGCAGCGACGCCGCGUGAGGGAUGGAGGCCUUCGGGUUGUGAACCUCUUUCGCCAGUGAAGCAGGCCUGCCUCGUUUGUGGGUGGGUUGACGGUAGCUGGAUAAGAAGCGCCGGCUAACUACGUG
rnacentral:rRNA from 1 species